GCAAAGGUCCGUUCGAUGGGCCUAAUAGCGAUCGCAACUGCUACAUCCGGUAUAGUGUCUGACAUUGUGAUUGCUUAUACCGACGAUGAAGAACCUAUUAACAAGCUUAUCGAAGAUGUCUUCCCAUCCCUGCACACCAAUGCUAGGUCGAGAGAGUACGUGAGCAGCACACGUGCAAUUCUCUCUACCAAAAAUGAGCAUGUGGAUGACCUGAAUGACAAGAUGAUCUCCAAGUUUCCAGGCGAAGAAAAGGUGUACCAUAGCUUUGGCUAUAUCGAGGAUGACUUCCAGAAUAAUUACACGAUUGACUUCCUGAACUCGAUCACACCUAAUGGGUUGCCCCCGCAUAUCUUGAGAGUAAAAAUCAACUGCCUAGCCAUUUUGCUACGGAACCUCGACCCUCAUAAUGGGCUAUGUAAUGGAACACGGCUUAUGAUCAGGGCCUUCCAGGAUAAUGCAAUUGAUGCAGCGAUUGUUAGUGGCCAGCAUGCUGGAAAGAGGGUGUUCAUACCUAGGAUCCCUAUGUCACCCUCCGAGGACACCUCACUUCCCUUCAAGCUUAAGAGAAAACAGUUCCCUAUCCGCGUGAGUUUUGCGAUGACCAUUAACAAGGUUUUG
rnacentral:rRNA from 1 species